CCCCUAGAUGUUCUGGGCCGCACGCGCGCUACACUGAACAGUUCAACAAGUCUUAACCUUGGCCGAUAGGUCUGGGUAAUCUUUGAACGCUGUUCGUGAUUGGGAUAGACCUUUGCAAUUAUGGGUCUUCAACGAGGAAUUCCUAGUAAACGCAAGUCAUCAGCUUGCAUUGAUUACGUCCCCGCCCUUUGUACACACCGCCCGUCGCACCUACCGAUUGAAUGGUCCGGUGAAAUCUCGGGACGGCGGCUUGGUCGCUUGCGUCCGACUGCUGAAACUUGAUUAAACCAUAUCAUUUAGAGGAAGGUGAANUCGUANCA
rnacentral:rRNA from 1 species